rnacentral:rRNA from 1 species
CUUGGUCAUUUAGAGGAAGUAAAAGUCGUAACAAGGUUUCCGUAGGUGAACCUGCGGAAGGAUCAUUAUUGAAACUUCACGGGGGCGCGUGGUUCGGCCUGCACCGGCGGCGACGUCGUGCUGCGGUCGGCCGUGCGCCCUCUUCCAAACCCAAACACCUGUGAACCUUUGGGAUGGCGCGCUGUAGUGGCCCGCCGUCCCGUUUACAACCAACUCUGAUGUCUAUUUGAAUGUGAACUCGGGGCAUCCCCGAUUUAAACUUAAAACAACUUUCAACAACGGAUCUCUUGGCUCUCGCAUCGAUGAAGAACGCAGCGAAAUGCGAUAAGUAAUGUGAAUUGCAGAAUUCAGUGAAUCAUCGAAUCUUUGAACGCACCUUGCGCUCCUUGGUAUUCCGAGGAGCAUGCCUGUUUGAGUGUCUUGAAAUCAUCAAACCCCUCCGGUUUCUGCCGGAGUGGGUUUGGACUUGGGGGCUUUUGCUGCCUUCUGGCGGCUCCCUUAAAUGAAUCGGUCGGGCUUUCGCGUGGCUUGUCCCUUGGCGUUGUAUCAACCUCGUCGCUGGAUGGCUCGCGAGUUUUGCGCCCCUCCAAGACCAGCCUCUGGAGCGGCGGUCAACUUCAAUUUUUGAUCCGACCUCAAAUCAGGUAGGACUACCCGCUGAACUUAAGCAUAUCAAUAAGCGGAGGA